GACGAACGCUGGCGGCGUGCUUAACACAUGCAAGUCGAACGGUGAAGCGCUUUCCUUUUUGGUUGGUGUGGAUGAGUGGCGAACGGGUGAGUAACACGUGAGUAACCUGCCCCCUUCUUCUGGAUAACCGCAUGAAAGUGUGGCUAAUACGGGAUAUUCUGCGCCUGCUUCAUGGUGGGUGUGGGAAAGAUUGUGCCUUUGGGUGUUUUCGGUGGGGGAUGGGCUCGCGGCCUAUCAGCUUGUUGGUGGGGUGAUGGCCUACCAAGGCGGUGACGGGUAGCCGGCCUGAGAGGGUGGACGGUCACACUGGGACUGAGACACGGCCCAGACUCCUACGGGAGGCAGCAGUGGGGAAUAUUGCACAAUGGGCGCAAGCCUGAUGCAGCGACGCCGCGUGAGGGAGGGAGGCCUUCGGGUUGUGAACCUCUUUCGCCAGUGAAGCAGGCCUGCUCCUUGUGGGUGGGUUGACGGUAGCUGGAUAAGAAGCGCCGGCUAACUACGUG
rnacentral:rRNA from 1 species